rnacentral:tRNA from 1 species
UGACUCAGUGGUAGAGUGCUUGCCUUGCAUGCAUGAGGCUCUGGGUUCGAUUCCUCAG